UGUGUAGGCGGGUCGUUAAGUGCCUUGUGAAAUCCCAUGGCUCAACCAUGGAACUGCUGGGCAUACUGGCGAUCUUGUGCAACCUAGGGGCGAGCGGAACAGAUGGUGGAGCGGUGAAAUGCGUAGAUAUCAUCUGGAACGCCAAUGGUGAAAACAGCUCGCUGGGGGUUUGCAGACGCUGAGACACGAAAGCCAGGGGAGCGAACGGGAUUAGAUACCCCGGUAGUCCUGGCCCUAAACGAUGUCGACUAGAUCGUAGUGCCUCUGACGGUAUUACGGUCGAAGCAAAAGUGCUAAGUCGACCGCCUGGGAAGUACGGUCGCAAGGCUAAA
rnacentral:rRNA from 1 species